CCUACGGGUGGCAGCAGUCGAGAAUCAUUCACAAUGGGGGAAACCCUGAUGGUGCGACGCCGCGUGGGGGAAUGAAGGUCUUCGGAUUGUAAACCCCUGUCAUGUGGGAGCAAAUUAAAAAGAUAGUACCACAAGAGGAAGAGCCGGCUAACUAUGUGCCAGCAGCCGCGGUAAUACAGAGGUCUCAAGCGGUGUUCGGAAGCACUGGGCGUAAAGCGUGCGUAGGCUGUUUCGUAAGGCGUGUGGGAAAAGUGCGGGCUCAACCCGCGGACGGCAGAUGAUACUGCGAGACUAGAGUAAUGGAGGGGGAACCGGAAUUCGCGGUGUAGCAGUGAAAUGCGUAGAUAUCGAGAGGAACACUCGUGGCGAAGGCAGGUUCCUGGACAUUAACUGACGCUGAGGCACGAAGGCCAGGGGAGCGAAAGGGAUUAGAUACCCCAGUAGUC
rnacentral:rRNA from 1 species